rnacentral:rRNA from 1 species
GGCCUAACACAUGCAAGUCGAACGCCCUCUUCGGAGGGAGUGGCAGACGGUGAGUAACGCGUGGGAAUUUACCCAAUGGUACGGAACAACUCCGGGAACUGGAGCUAAUACCGUAUAAGCCCUUCGGGGGAAAGAUUUAUCGCCAUUGAAAAGCCCGCGUUGGAUUAGCUUGUUGGUGGGGUAACGGCCUACCAGGCUACGAUCCAUAGCUGGUCUGCGAGGAUGAUCAGCCACACUGGGACUGAACACGGCCCAGACUCCUACGGGAGGCAGCAGUGGGGAAUAUUGGACAAUGGCGAAACGCUGAUCCAGCCAUGCCGCGUGAGUGAACAAUGCCCUAGGGUGUAAAGCCUCUUUCGGUGGGGGAAGAUAAUUGACGGUACCCCAGAAUAGCCUCGGU